rnacentral:rRNA from 1 species
UACGUAGGGUGCAAGCGUUAAUCGGAAUUACUGGGCGUAAAGCGUGCGCAGGCGGUGAUGUAAGACAGAUGUGAAAUCCCCGGGCUCAACCUGGGAACUGCAUUUGUGACUGCAUCGCUGGAGUGCGGCAGAGGGGGAUGGAAUUCCGCGUGUAGCAGUGAAAUGCGUAGAUAGGCGGAGGAACACCGAUGGCGAAGGCAAUCCCCUGGGCCUGCACUGACGCUCAUGCACGAAAGCGUGGGGAGCAAACAGG